GGAGGGGGCUAGCGUUGUUCGGAUUUACUGGGCGUAAAGGGCGCGUAGGCGGUAUGCCAUGUCAGGGGUGAAAGGCCUGGGCUCAACCCAGGAACUGCCUUUGAAACUGGCAAACUAGAGUCCGAUAGAGGAUGGCGGAAUUCCCAGUGUAGAGGUGAAAUUCGUAGAUAUUGGGAAGAACACCAGUGGCGAAGGCGGCCAUCUGGAUCGGCACUGACGCUGAGGCGCGAAAGCGUGGGGAGCAACCAGGGAUUAGAUACCCUGGUAGUCCACGCCGUAAACGAUGUGUGCUAGACGUUGGGGGCCCUUAGGCCCUGAGUGUCGCAGCUAACGCGUUAAGCACACCGCCUGGGGAGUACGGCCGCAAGGUUA
rnacentral:rRNA from 1 species